GGGGUUAUAAUUGUAGUAAUACAAUUAUAGCUUAGUGGCGAACGGGUGCGUAACACGUGAGUAAUCUGCCGGGAAGUGUGGGAUAGCUCGCCGAAAGGCGAAUUAAUACCGCAUGUGGCUAGGGGUGACAUCACUCCGAAGCCAAAGUCGCAAGACGCUUCCUGAUGAGCUCGCGGCCUAUCAGCUAGUUGGUGAGGUAACGGCUCACCAAGGCAAUGACGGGUAGCUGGUCUGAGAGGACGACCAGCCACACUGGAACUGAGACACGGUCCAGACACCUACGGGUGGCAGCAGUCGAGAAUUUUUCACAAUGGGGGAAACCCUGAUGGAGCGACGCCGCGUGGAGGACGAAGGUCUUCGGAUUGUAAACUCCUGUCAUGCGGGAACAAGAAAGUGAUAGUACUGCAAGAGGAAGAGACGGCUAACUCUGUGCCAGCAGCCGCGGUAAUACAGAGGUCUCAAGCGUUGUUCGGAUUCAUUGGGCGUAAAGGGUGCGUAGGUGGCGUGGAAAGUUGAGUGUGAAAUCCUAGGGCUUAACCUUAGAACUGCACUCAAUACUCCCAUGCUAGAGGAAUGUAGAGGAGAGUGGAAUUCACGGUGUAGCAGUGAAAUGCGUAGAUAUCGUGAGGAAGACCAGUUGCGAAGGCGACUCUCUGGGCAUCUCCUGACACUGAGGCACGAAGGCUAGGGGAGCAAACGGGAUUAGAUACCCCGGUAGUCCUAGCAGUAAACGGUGCACGUUUGGUGU
rnacentral:rRNA from 1 species